rnacentral:rRNA from 1 species
CCUACGGGUGGCAGCAGUGGGGAAUAUUGGACAAUGGGGGCAACCCUGAUCCAGCCAUGCCGCGUGUGUGAAGAAGGCCCUCGGGUUGUAAAGCACUUUCAGUGAGGAAGAACGCCUGGUGGUUAAUACCCAUCAGGAAAGACAUCACUCACAGAAGAAGCACCGGCUAACUCCGUGCCAGCAGCCGCGGUAAUACGGAGGGUGCGAGCGUUAAUCGGAAUUACUGGGCGUAAAGCGCGCGUAGGUGGCUUGAUAAGCCGGUUGUGAAAGCCCCGGGCUCAACCUGGGAACGGCAUCCGGAACUGUCAAGCUAGAGUGAAGGAGAGGAAGGUAGAAUUCCCGGUGUAGCGGUGAAAUGCGUAGAGAUCGGGAGGAAUACCAGUGGCGAAGGCGGCCUUCUGGACUGACACUGACACUGAGGUGCGAAAGCGUGGGUAGCAAACAGGAUUAGAUACCCCGGUAGUC